rnacentral:ncRNA from 2 species
UUUUGUAUCUGCGAUGGGGUUCGCAUUAACCGCUUAAAAAUAAGCUGAUGACUCCUAACCUAUU